GUCCACGGGGCUCCCGUGGGUCGUGGUCGUCGCAAGAGGGAACCCGGUGAGAACCCGGGACUGCCCCGCAGCGGUGAACGGGAACGACCGUCGCAUCCAGGCACUGCGCCCCUGAGGGGGCGUGGGAAGCCGCGACCAGUAGGACCGGGAGGCGAGAGCCGACCGGGCGCCCGUGAGUCCGAAGACCUGCCAGUGCACGGGCGCCCCG
rnacentral:ncRNA from 1 species